AGCAUUCUGAACAGCAAUGCUCAUCACAUAAACAUGAAGUUUCCUCCAAAAGGAAUGAUGACUAAUGCUUUGAGGAAACAGCAGACGUCAGACAGCAAGCCCAGAAAAACCUGCCAGCACCAAGAGGGUGUCCUCAACAGGCGCCUGGGGGACAUAUUAUUCUAACUAAAGAGACCAGAGCUUCCCCAGGAAGGGAAGAGGAGAGAAAUGAAGAACGUCUGUGUUCAUGUUUGCCAAAAACAAAAGUCUGAGAAAUCUCUGAGAGACUCUACAUGGGAGGUGAAAUUUACCUUUUCUAAGACCAUUGUUGAUUUUCCUUUUACCCUUGAAGUGGACUGAAAUAUCACUAAUGGUGAGAGGAAAGCUCAGAGGUUCUAUUAAAGAAUGUGAAAUAGGUUAAUGCACUAAUCGAAGCACCUCAUUUAAAGUGAGAAAAGCUUUGCUAAGGGCAGAUGAUUCAGCACGGUAUCCUUCGAUGAGUACUGUCAUCUCAAAUCCUUUUUAAGAAGAAAAGUGCAACCCACUGGAGAAAGAGAGGGACUCCGAGGAAGGAGAGAGAGAAGAGGAUCAAGCACAAAUGAUGAUCUCCUAGGACAGUGGCAGCUUCUGAGAAUGCACAGGAAAGUGACCAGGGAAAGAAUGAUUCCAUCUCCAGGAAUCCCUGGUGAUCUUCAGAGCCCAGACAGGACCCUGCUGGGCCAUGGUAACUGCUUAAUCUUGGCCUGGUGUGCCUCAUUUUUAUAGGACUUCUGAAACCAGAAAUCACCAGCGUGGGGAGAGAACAUUAAAGGCAGAGGUGUCUCUUAUAAGCACAACGUGUGACCAGGACUUGGAUUACUGUCAGCUUCUAGUGUCUCCAUCAUUCAUAAUUGCACUGUGUUGGUCCACCCACUUUACUCCUAAAGAAGAGGUAGAAACAAGAAAAGAAAGCAAUGCAAAAAGAACGGUACUGCCCUCUUUCUCUCCUGAACCAUCAAUAAAUCAAGGGUAGGUAUCAACGAAAGGAGAUUUCCCUUUCAAUCUUACUGGUGACAAACUUCUCCUGAACAACAGAAUUCCUUCCUUUCAUCCUUUUCUGCAGUUACCUGCAUGAUGACUAGUCAAUCAAUAAAUUAGAAAAGGAUUUUCAACUCUAGAUCUG
rnacentral:lncRNA from 1 species